rnacentral:rRNA from 1 species
GAUGAACGCUGGCGGCGUGCCUAAUACAUGCAAGUCGAGCGAACAGACGAGGAGCUUGCUCCUCUGACGUUAGCGGCGGACGGGUGAGUAACACGUGGAUAACCUACCUAUAAGACUGGGAUAACUUCGGGAAACCGGAGCUAAUACCGGAUAAUAUAUUGAACCGCAUGGUUCAAUAGUGAAAGACGGUUUUGCUGUCACUUAUAGAUGGAUCCGCGCCGCAUUAGCUAGUUGGUAAGGUAACGGCUUACCAAGGCAACGAUGCGUAGCCGACCUGAGAGGGUGAUCGGCCACACUGGAACUGAGACACGGUCCAGACACCUACGGGAGGCAGCAGCAGGGAAUCUUCCGCAAUGGGCGAAAGCCUGACGGAGCAACGCCGCGUGAGUGAAGAAGGUCUUCGUAUCGUAAAACUCUGUUAAUAGGGAAGAACAAAUGUGUAAGUAACUAUGCACGUCUUGAAGGUACCUAAUCAGAAAGCCACGGCUAACUACGUG